UACAGUGGCGCACGGGUGAGUAACACGUGACUAAUCUACCCUCGAGUGGGGAAUAACCUAGAGAAAUCUGGGCUAAUACCGCAUAACACUUACGAGUCAAAGCCGCAAGGCGCUUGGGGAGGAGGUCGCGGCCGAUUAGCUAGUUGGCGGGGUAAUGGCCCACCAAGGCGAUGAUCGGUAUCCGGCCUGAGAGGGCGCACGGACACACUGGAACUGAAACACGGUCCAG
rnacentral:rRNA from 1 species